UACGUAGGGUGCGAGCGUUGUCCGGAAUUAUUGGGCGUAAAGAGCUUGUAGGCGGUCUGUCGCGUCUGCUGUGAAAAUCCGGGGCUCAACCCCGGACUUGCAGUGGGUACGGGCAGACUAGAGUGUGGUAGGGGAGACUGGAAUUCCUGGUGUAGCGGUGAAAUGUGCAGAUAUCAGGAGGAACACCGAUGGCGAAGGCAGGUCUCUGGGCCACUACUGACGCUGAGAAGCGAAAGCGUGGGGAGCAAACAGG
rnacentral:rRNA from 1 species